rnacentral:lncRNA from 9 species
AUUUCUGGCCUCAGCAAUUUAACAUUAAUUGGCAUCUGUUGAGUCCUUAAAGCAUGACAAGCAUUAUCUGGGUUACCGCACAGAAAUCCAAAGGCCUGGUCCUCCACUAAAAAGGAAGAUAAGACACAUAACCACGCUGAACAUCACCGGUUUCAGGAAAACGGCCUCCAGUUGUGUUUUAAAGGAAAGAAGCUGCACGGCUUGGCAAAGAGGAAGAGGUCGGAGACAGCACAGUCUCUGCCUCACAGCCCUGCAGCGUUAACAAGCCAAACUGUGCUCAUCCGAGUUUGAAAUGAUCACCUCCUGUACAGAAGCCUGGCUCUCUGGGCGCCGCAGCAGGGAAACUGACGGGUGGGCGGAGUCAUCAGUCUACCUGACCCCACCCAACCUGGGCAGUUCCUGCCUGGCAUGCUCAGCUCUGGAGAGAGCCGCCUGCCCUGCUGGGCUCCACGGUGACCAGGCUGCCUGGGGGCUGCGGCUGGGGCCCCUCCUCCUCUGAUGUGUCAGCCCACAGGCUUUUAUUGAACACCUCCUGGCUAUCAUGUGGCGUCAGGAGGGAAGAUGGAGACAGGUGCAGCGUGGACUGUCGCGGAGCUCACAGUUCUGCGGGAGGGGGAAGAGGGGGUGACUAACAGCAAACCAGUGAACACACCUUGUGAAAGAGUAGCAGAGGGGAGGGGUGCCAGGCCACCUUCCAGAGGCAGUCAGUAAGAAGGUGCAGGCCAGGAAGUGCCUGCUAUGGCUCAGCAGAUUACAAACCCAACCAGGAUCCAUGAGGACAUGGGUUCAAUCCCUGGUCCCACUCAGGAGGUUAAGGAUCCAGUGUUGCCAUGAGCUGUGGUGUAGGUCUCAGAUCUGGUGUCACUGUGGCUGUGGUGCUGUGGUUUAGACCAGCAGCUCCAGCUCUGAUUUGACCCCGAGCCUGGAAACUUCCAUAUGCCACAGGUACAGCCCUAAAAAGCAAAAAGAAUGGCCAGCUCAGGUACCUUAGGCAGAGUCCCAGAUGGAGAUGAGCUGGGCUCUGACACUGAGAAGAGGAGCUGAGGGCUGGAGCCCCGGGAAGAGGGGCUCAGAGCUCAGGAGGGGCUGAGACAUCAGGCAGGGCCUGCCAGGAGUUUGGGUUUUAUUCUGAAAGGAGGCUUUUAAGCAAGGGGCUGACAGGACAAGGUUUCCUCUGUAAGGGUCCCCCUGGACGGUGUGCCUAGAAAAGAAUGCAUCUUGGGCUACCCUUGUGGUUCAGUGGGUUAAGGAUCCAGGGUUGUCACUGCAGUGGUUGGGGUUGCUGCUGUGGGUUCGAUCCCUGGCCUGGGAACUUUUGCAUGUCACGGGUGCAGCCAGAAAAGAAAAAACAAAAAAA